rnacentral:rRNA from 1 species
GAUGAACGCUGGCGGCGUGCCUAAUACAUGCAAGUCGAGCGAACAGACGAGGAGCUUGCUCCCUUGACGUUAGCGGCGGACGGGGGAGUAACACGUGGAUACAAUACCUCUAAGACUGGGAUAAAUUCGGGAAAACGGAGCUAAUACCGGACAAUAUAUUUAACCGCAUGGUUCAAUAGAGAAAGACGGUUUUGCUGUCACGUAAAGAUGGACCCGGGCAGCAUUAGCAAGUUGGUAAGGUAACGGCUUACGAAGGCAACGAUGGUUAGCCGACCGGGGAGAGUGACCGGCCACACUGGAACGGAGACACGGCCCAGCCCCCUACGGGAGGAAGCGGUAGGGAAUCUUCCGCAAUGGGCGAAAGCUGGACGGAGCAACGCCGCGUGAUUGAUGAAGGUCUUCGGAUCGUAAAACUCUGUUAUUAGGGAAGAACAAAUGUGUAAGUAACUAUGCACGUCUUGACGGUACCUAAUCAGAAAGCCACGGCUAACUACGUG